rnacentral:piRNA from 1 species
GCAGAAGCUGAUGAUGCAUUUUCUCACUUC